CAACAGCCAGCUGUGCCUGAUGCUAUAGAAGGGACUGCUUGCCCCCUCCUCUUUCUCUUGCUCUUUGCUCUUCUCUGCCCUCUUGCCCUCUUCCUCUUUGUCCCUUCUCUUCCUAUCCCCCCACUUCUUCCCUCCCUGUGCUUAUGGCCGGCCUUUACUUCUCCCCAUUUCUACUCUUCUCUCAUUAAACCGCUCCCCGUGGAGCCAUGUUGGUUUGCUGUGUUCUGUCUGGACGGGAGCCGAGAUUUAAACCCCAACAGGGAGCAUAUCAAACAGAAAACAGCCGACCGCAGGAAGUAGAUCCUAGCCUCCAGGAAGCCGAAUCAGCAAAAGGGAUACAAUGAAAAGGGUUUGCUAAGAGCCUACAGUCCACCAAGGACCAGGUUUCCACAGCACAUCAGGGGACCUUCCUCCUCUUCCUACCCCUGUGGAUAAUCCAGCAAAGCCACCUCUGCUUGUAAUGAUUUCAGCCAUUUGUGGGAUACAACAUUUCUGUCUCUGUGCUCGAUAGGUACCGUCUCACUGAAGACCUUCACUAGCUGUAAAAGCCAGAAGCUGCUUCCCCCUGAGUGUUGUCCCUGCAUGUCUGCCUGCAGGCCAGAAGAGGACACCAGAUCCCAUUACAGAUGGUUGUGAGCCACCAUGUGGUUGCUGGGAAUUGAACUCAGGACCUCUGGAAGAGCAGUCAGUGCUCUUAACCUCUGAGCCAUCUCUCCAGCCCUCACACACAGCUCUUAACACUCCUCAUCCAGCAAACCUGACUGGGAUCUGGACUCAGAGCAAGGUGGAGACUCAGGUGUGACCCAGCUUCACGGAGCCAGACUCACAUCACUGUGUUCUACUGUAGGCCUGGCAGCCAAGGCACCAGUGCUGAAAGUCCAUUCUUCUGAAGGUUCGACACAAAUAGAAUGAAGUCACCCAGCACAAGACUUCCAAAGUGCCUGCAUCCUUUUCCUCAGUGUCCCUCUCUGUUGGCAGCUGUCCAUAGGCUGGCCCCUCUCCUUGUU
rnacentral:lncRNA from 1 species